rnacentral:sRNA from 1 species
AGUUGGGUUUGGAGGCGGCCGCCAGGCCCAGGCCCGGUGGACCUGCCGCCAUGCAGGACGGUAACUUCCUGCUGUCGGCCCUGCAGCCUGAGGCCGGCGUGUGCUCCCUGGCGCUGCCCUCUGACCUGCAGCUGGACCGCCGGGGCGCCGAGGGGCCAGAGGCCGAGCGGCUGCGGGCAGCCCGUGUCCAGGAGCAGGUCCGCGCCCGCCUCUUGCAGCUGGGACAGCAGCCGCGGCACAACGGGGCCGCUGAGCCCGAGCCUGAGGCCGAGACUGCCAGAGGCACAUCCAGGGGGCAGUACCACACCCUGCAGGCUGGCUUCAGCUCUCGCUCUCAGGGCCUGAGUGGGGACAAGACCUCGGUGAGCGAUGGGCCCAGCCCAAGGGGGAUGAUCUGAGCUCUGCAGUCUGGAGAGUGGGAGGCUCUGCAGCGGGGCUGGACACAGGUGAGUCCAGGCAUGCCCUCACCGCCCCCUCUCGACCCACAGGGCUUCCGGCCCAUCGCCAAGCCGGCCUACAGCCCAGCCUCCUGGUCCUCCCGCUCCGCCGUAGAUCUGAGCUGCAGUCGGAGGCUGAGUUCCGCCCACAAC